rnacentral:rRNA from 1 species
GUCUUUUUGUUUUUUAUAUAAGGUCAGACCUGCCCAAUGAAUUUUAAAUGGCCGCAGUACUUUAACUGUGCAAAGGUAGCAUAAUAAUUUGUUUUUUAAUUGGAAACUAGUAUGAAUGGUCAUACGAGGGAUUGACUUUCUUUAUCUUACUUAAAUUAAUUUUAUUUUUCUGUGAAAAAGCAGAAAUUUCGUUAGUAGACGAUAAGACCCUUUAAAACUUUAUUUAUUAUAGAAGUAUAAUUUUGUUAGGUUUUAAUAGUGUACUUUUUUAAUGAGUUUUGUUGGGGCGACAGGUAAAUUUAUUUAACUUUAUUUUUGUUUUUCACUAAUUAGUGUUUAUUUGAUCCAGAUUUAGUUUUGAUUAUAAGUUUAAGUUACUUAA